AGCUCCAAUAGCGUAUAUUAAAGUUGUUGCGGUUAAAAAGCUCGUAGUUGGAUCUCGGCAAGCAGGGGGCGGUUCGAUAUUUGUCGACACUGCCCCAUUUGCUUGUAUUUUUGACAGAGGGUUGAGGGUCCCCUUCAUUGGGUGUCCUCGGUCGCUGUCAGGUUUACUUUGAAAAAAUUAGAGUGCUCAAAGCAGGCUUUAAAGCUUGAAUAUUCGUGCAUGGAAUAAUAGAAUAGGAAGUCGUUUCUAUUUUGUUGGUUUUCGGAAAAUGACUUAAUGAUUAAUAGGGACAAUCGGGGGCAUUAGUAUUCAAACGACAGAGGUGAAAUUCUUGGACCGUUUGAAGACUAACUACUGCGAAAGCAUUUGCCAAGAGUGUUUUCA
rnacentral:rRNA from 1 species